rnacentral:lncRNA from 1 species
GCAAAAGAGGUCAGGAAAAGAGGCUCUGGAGGUUAAUAGGAAGCAUCUCGUGCUUUCACAGCUCCCUGGGUUCUGAAAUGUAAUAAAAAGAGUGCUUUGAAGGAAAAGUUUUCAAAUUUUCUGAAAAAACUCAAACAGAUGUUUGUCAGGUUUAAAAUAUUUUGAGUUUGGACUUACUGUAGAAUUGCUAACAAAGGAAUUUUCUCCAUGCUGAAAGCUAUUUUAAUGAAAAAGGUGGAAUUUUAAAUAUAUACAUUUACCAUAGAACAUUUUUCAGCUGGAAUUUAUAGGACAGGUAAACUUAUUUUGAAUAAUAUUUUCUAGAGUCUUAAAUCAAGUAUUUUUGUUCUUUAGCCUAAAAUCUGUCAAGAGGAAAAAUAAUUUUAAAUUAUUAAUACAGAUGAAGCAUAUCAGUAGCAAAUAUUUCACAGCAGCCUGAAGACCCAAAGGCAGAAGUCUGUCCUUUUACCUGUCAUGUAAAGGAAUGAGAUAUGGAAUGAAGAGUCCCUCUUUCUAUAACUGCCAUAGCAGGAAAGGAUUCUGUAGGAAUUUUAUGUCAUGCCCAAAUUCUCAGAGGCUAUUUUUCUGAUUUUUAGCUUGCCAACUGUCUUAUUCUCUUGAACAAAAGGUGCUCUUGGGCUCUGGGGCCGGAUUUAGUUUUUUAUUUAUUCACCUGCUUGCAAACCUUUGAGGAAGAUGUCCAUGUCCUGUAUUGGCAGAGCUCGGUGUGUAUAUCAGAUGUCACUGGAAGGAGCAAAGAAAAGGAAAAUGAAGGGAAGCUCCACACUGCAGAGUAGUUUAUUUAACAGAUUGCCGGUAGCUUUUCAGGUCUGCCACACAACAAUGUAA